rnacentral:rRNA from 1 species
GACGAACGCUGGCGGCGUGCCUAAUACAUGCAAGUUGAGCGAUGAAGAUUGGUGCUUGCACCAAUUUGAAGAGCAGCGAACGGGUGAGUAACGCGUGGGGAAUCUGCCUUUGAGCGGGGGACAACGUUUGGAAACGAAUGCUAAUACCGCAUAACAACUUUAAACAUAAGUUUUAAGUUUGAAAGAUGCAAUUGCAUCACUCAAAGAUGAUCCCGCGUUGUAUUAGCUAGUUGGUGAGGUAAAGGCUCACCAAGGCGAUGAUACAUAGCCGACCUGAGAGGGUGAUCGGCCACAUUGGGACUGAGACACGGCCCAAACUCCUACGGGAGGCAGCAGUAGGGAAUCUUCGGCAAUGGACGAAAGUCUGACCGAGCAACGCCGCGUGAGUGAAGAAGGUUUUCGGAUCGUAAAACUCUGUUGGUAGAGAAGAACGUUGGUGAGAGUGGAAAGCUCAUCAAGUGACGGUAACUACCCAGAAAGGGACGGCUAACUACGUG